rnacentral:rRNA from 1 species
GCGGCAGGCUUAACACAUGCAAGUCGAACGAGAAAGUAACUUCGGUUACGAGUACAGUGGCAGACGGGUGAGGAACACGUGGGAACAUACCUUUUGGUUCGGGACAACCGCUGGAAACGGCUGCUAAUACCGGAUAAGCUCUACGGAGGAAAGAUGUAUUGCCAGAAGAUUGGCCCGCGUCUGAUUAGCUAGUUGGUGAUGUAAGGGCUCACCAAGGCGACGAUCAGUAGCUGGUUUGUGAGGAUGAUCAGCCACACUGGGACUGAGACACGGCCCAGACUACUACGGGAGGCAGCAGUGAGGAAUAUUGGACAAUGGAGGAAACUCUGAUCCAGCCAUGCCGCGUGAGUGACGAAGGACUUUGGGUUGUAAAACUCUUUAAGUGGGGAAGAUAAUGACGGUACCCACAGAAUAAGCACCGGCUAACUUCGUGCCAGCCGCCGCCGUAA